rnacentral:rRNA from 1 species
GUCUAUGGCCACGCCUCCCUGAACAAGCCUGAUGUCUGAUCUCAGAAGCUAAGCAAGGUCGAGCCUGGUUAGUACUUGGAUGGGAGACCACCUAGGAAGACCAGGUGCUGUAGGCA